rnacentral:lncRNA from 1 species
CAGAAACAAUGAUUUUAAUACAUGGGAAAAAUGUAUUGUUCCAAUAAAAGUGAUUUCAAGAAAUUGUGAUUAUUGUAAUUGCUCCCUCUAUGACACAUGAACAUUUAAUAUUUUGAUUGAUUUCUUUUUUGCUCAAGAUUGAAAUUAAGUAGAUUAUUAUGUAGCUCUAGUACAAUUAAAUCUACCUGUGACCUUGGUAGAUUUUUUUGUGGCGACCUUGCUACAACAAAAACGACAACUUCUAAUCAAGUUCAUUAUUUCUUGAAAAGCCCUUAUAUUAGUAUCUUUGAAUUUUAUUUCCAUAAUGAAUUGCAAAAUUUUUAGUUGAUAAAGAUAACAUAUUUUUUUCAUGUUUAUCUUCAUUUUUAAUACUC